GACGAACGCUGGCGGCGUGCCUAAUACAUGCAAGUAGGACGCAGUUGCGAACGGGUGAGUAACGCGUAGGUACCUGCCUAUUAGAGGGGGAUAACUAUUGGAACCGAUAGCUAAUACCGCCUACUAGUAGAUGGACCUGCGUUGUAUUAGCUAGUAGGUAGGGUAAUGGCCUACCUAGGCGACGAUACAUAGCCGACCGUGGGGGGUUAGCGGCCAAACUGGGACGUAGGCACGGCACAGACUCCUAAGGGAGGCAGAAGUAGGGAAUCUGCGGCAAGGGGGGGAACCCUGGCCGAGCAACGCCGCGUGAGAUAAGAAGGGUUUCGGAUCGUAAAGCUCUGUUGUUAAGGAAGCGGUACUUAACCAGAAAGGGCCGGCUAACUACGUGCCAGCAGCCGCGGUAAUAC
rnacentral:rRNA from 1 species